rnacentral:rRNA from 1 species
UACGUAGGGUGCAAGCGUUAAUCGGAAUUACUGGGCGUAAAGCGUGCGCAGGCGGUUCGCUACAGCAGAUGUGAAAUCCCCGGGCUUAACCUGGGAACUGCAUUUGUGACUGGCGGGCUAGAGUAUGGCAGAGGGGGGUAGAAUUCCACGUGUAGCAGUGAAAUGCGUAGAGAUGUGGAGGAAUACCGAUGGCGAAGGCAGCCCCCUGGGCCAAUACUGACGCUCAUGCACGAAAGCGUGGGGAGCAAACAGG